CCUAUCCUUGUCUAAAUAGUUAAGCAGAGGCGAUAUCACACCCCGGAGCACGGCUGAGGCCAGCCGCCCUCACAGCCGUGAAUGGCAGCGUCUGGCGGUGCGGAAACUGGUUUCUGGAGUGACUUGCAGUGUGUUGCGCUCAGCUGGACGGUGACUAUGGUGGCAGCCCUGUCUCGAGGUGCACGGUGUCCUGACUGAAACAACUCCACGUGGUUCCUGGUGUGCGAUAACUCACGAAAGGCUCAGGACACUGAGGAGCACACAGCACCCAGCCCGGCCUGCACACGCCUCCUGCUCCAGUGCCCUGACCUAAGAACACCUUUGGUUCCAUCUCAUCCAACUGCCUACCUCCUGCCAGGGUGCCGGAAAUGCGUUCCCACCUGCUGCGGUACAGAAGGAACCUGCAUAGGG
rnacentral:lncRNA from 1 species